GCCCCAUUAGCUCAGUCGGUUAGAGCGCUGUACUUAUAAGUGCUGGACAAAUGAGCAAUGCAGAAGUCGGCGGUUCGAGCCCGCCAUGGGGCC
rfam:Globodera pallida, Lindley, WGS project CBXT01000000 data, contig: pathogens_Gpal_scaffold_588_contig_11